UAUGUUGCAGUCUUUUUCAGUUGAUAAAAUUGCAAUUCAAAAACUUUUAGGUAGAUUUGCACUGUAUGGAUGGCACAGGAAGAGAAACAAGAGUACAAGAACAUGAAACAUCCUAUUAUAAAUGUAUAUGUAUGUGAUCCUCAAAAAAUUAUUUUACAAAACAAGAUAGAGAAAGAGCUUUAAAAUCCCAAGGAUCCUGCAAAAUGUUUAUUUGGUGUACUAGUCGAAUAAUAGUAUCUAAAAAUAUUGACACUAUUUUAUGGGCAUGAGGAUGAUAUAGAGCACUUACAUAAAUACCAAAAUCAGAUAAAUAUCUCUUCAAAGUUUAUUUUGAGACUUUCUUCAAAAAUUAAACUUCAGACUGUACAGGAUAGCAUAAUAGCAUAGGAGGCGAAUUAAAAAGAAUUGAUUUACUUACAAGAAAAGAUAUCACAAACAUUAAACUCUCUUAUGGCAUUGAUUUGAAAGAUGGGUAUAUGUACAAUGAUGAUGCAACCAGUGUUUAUUUUUGGGUUGAAUGCUUACAGACUCAUGUCCAAUAUUAUUUUACAAACAACAGGGCAUACUAAUGGAUAUUCAUUAUGAAUUUAACAUUUAUGAUUUUUGUCUUAUGUU
rnacentral:lncRNA from 1 species